rnacentral:lncRNA from 1 species
GGUCCCCAUGAAGCAAUAAACAUAGGAGGACCUCACUCUGUUGUGCAUGCUGGAGUACAGUGGCGCAGUCUCUGCUCCCUGAAACCUCGACUUCCAGGGCUCAAGAGAUCCUUCCAUCUUACCAAGUAGCUGGGACUACAGAUGUAUAGUUAUUUUCCAAACCCACCAUUGUAAAAUUACAUUCUAUUAAAGAGAAAAAGAAGAAAAAGAAACUUAAUUUGUUUUUUGGGGGAUAGUUGAGAUGUGUUUAACACAGCCCCUGCUGGUAACCAAGGUCCUCCUCCAAUGACGGGUAUGAAUAUGAACAACAGAGCAACUAUACCUGGCCCACCAGUGGGUCCUGGUCCUGCCAUGGGACCAGAAGGAGCCGCAAAUAUGGGAACUCCAAUGAUGCCAGAUAAUGGAGCAGUGGAAGAACCGGAACUAUGAUUUGUGCCUUCCUUAUUGCCUCCGAAAUAUUUUUAACUGCAGAGGAAAGCCUGUAUUAUUUUGGAGAAAGGCGAACAGAUAAAACGCACAGCAGUAAAUUUCAGGGACUAGAAACUCCUUCUCAGUAGAGACAAGGUUUCACCCUGUUGGCGAGGCUGGUCUCAAACUCCUGACGCCCAGUGAUCUGCCCACCUCGGCCUCCCAAAGUGCUGGGAUUACAGGCGGGAGCCACCAUGAUGGCCAACUUUUGAAUUCUGAACCAGUUGAUUGAGUACCAGAGCUCUUCAAUACCUUGAAGAAAGAUUCAGGGGAGAGCCGUUGUGAACAGCUUGCCCCAGGGAAAGGACAAGGCUGAGAGAAUUCCAGGGCUUCCUUGAGAAAACAGAAUUGAGGAAAUGCAAAGUGAAGAAUUCUAGCAUCAGGAACAAGAGAAGAAUGAUGGAAAACCUGCUACUGAGAUAUGUUGGAUAUUUUGCACAAGUGAAACAUCUCUACAACUGGAAUCUCCCUCCAAGACGGAUACUCUUUAUAAUAAGAUUCAUUAUUUAUUCGAUUCGUGGUGUUGGAACAGGCGAUGUAUGUGAUCUAAAAUUCCAAAUAGUAAUGGAGAAAAAGGUUGUCUUUUCCAGUACUUCAUUAGGAAAUUGUUCAAUACUGCAUGACAUUGAAACAGCUGGUGUAUUAACUAAUGUAUAUGACAGUCCAUCUCUGUACGAUGAUGUGAAAGUGCAGUUUUUCUCUUCGAAUCUUCCUAAAUACUAUGACAAUUGUUCAUUUUUCUUCUGGUUCAACACAUCUUUUAUUCAAAAUAACAGAGAGAAAUUUAGAUAUUUUAUUAAACUUGGAAGUCAUUAAUGCCAUAUAAAGCAAUGCUAAGAGAGUCAGCAUGUGUUACUGAUGUGUUGCUGAAGAUUAAAGUAUUUUUAAGUCUCACCAAAAAGGUGGAAGGAGCCAACUGAGACACAAAAAAGGGGCUGAGGUUCUAUUCACGGCUUUAUCUACCAAGAAAUGAAUUGGAUAAUCCACAUCAACAAAAAGCAUGGAAAAUUUAUCCACCAGAAUUUGCCGUGGAGAUACUUUUUGGCGAGAAAUGACUUCCAAUGACGUAGCUGGAUCCGAUUAAGUAUAGUUUCCCCUUCCCCUUCUGGGAAAGAAUUAAUGUUCUUUCCAACCCCUGCCAUGUGCAUGUUCAUAUGUCCUAAGUCUUCCUUGAUGAUGUAUCUAUAUUUAUAUAUGUUUAUAUAUGUUCUUCAUAAAUCUAUUAAAUAUAUAUAGAUAAAA